CCCUCGUCCAACAGAUCGCCAUUCGAAGCUCACAAACAGAGACACUCUCUGAGCGUCUGAAUUCUCUUGCUUUGGGAGAAAGUCCCCGGACACGUCUUCUCCUCACGGAAGGACAUUGCGGAAACGCGCCGCCACAGAAGCACUGCGGCUGACCUCCUGGCCCCGUCCUCAGUCUGUCCUCCUCUGCCCUGCCCCGCCGCUACAUUGGUCAACCUUUCUCUCUUGGAGUCUAGUCAGGUGGCCUUGAGACCUCAUGGACGAUGAUAUGAGUCCGCGCUCUUGGCUGCUUGAUCGGAUCCUCCGUGGGAGGAAGGUCGGCUCGAUGGCGGGGUAGCCGUGGGUGUCGAUGCGUGCUGUGGGCGUCAAGGGGCCGGGAGGGUUUUUCGUCGAGCACGAUAGAUAUGCGAUCGCCUGGCCUCACCAGCUUGGAGUACUCGAUGGGGCUCAUUCUUGGCGCGAGG
rnacentral:RNase_MRP_RNA from 2 species